rnacentral:rRNA from 1 species
GACGAACGCUGGCGGCGUGCCUAAUACAUGCAAGUAGAACGCAGUUGCGAACGGGUGAAUAACGCGUAGGUAACUGCCGCAUAGCGGGGGAUAAAUAUUGGAACCGAUAGCUAAAACCGCAUAAUGUGAGAUAGAACUGCGUUGUAUUAGCUAGUUGGUGAGGUAAAGGGUCACCAAGGCUACGAUACAUAGCAGACCUGAACGGGUGAUCCGGCACGCUGGGACUGAGACAAGGCCCCAGCCCCUACGGGAGGCAGCCGUAGGGGAUCUUCGGCAAUGGACGGAAAUCUGACCGAGCCAAGGCGCGUUAGUGAAGAAGGUUUUCGGAUCGUAAAGCUCUGUUGUGAGAGAAGCGGUAACUAACCAGAAAGCGACGGCUAACUACGGGCCAGCAGCCGCGGUAAUUC